rnacentral:rRNA from 1 species
AACGAACGCUGGCGGCAUGCCUAACACAUGCAAGUCGAACGAGACCUUCGGGUCUAGUGGCGCACGGGUGCGUAACGCGUGGGAACCUGCCCUUAGGUUCGGAAUAACUCCCCGAAAGGGGUGCUAAUACCGGAUAAUGUCCUCGGACCAAAGAUUUAUCGCCUUUGGAUGGGCCCGCGUUGGAUUAGCUAGUUGGUAGGGUAAAAGCCUACCAAGGCGACGAUCCAUAGCUGGUCUGAGAGGAUGAUCAGUCACACUGGGACUGAGACACGGCCCAGACUCCUACGGGAGGCAGCAGUGGGGAAUAUUGGACAAUGGGCGAAAGCCUGAUCCAGCAAUGCCGCGUGAGUGAUGAAGGCCUUAGGGUUGUAAAGCUCUUUUACCCGGGAUGAUAAUGACAGUACCGGGAGAAUAAGCUCCGGCUAACUCCGUG